rnacentral:ribozyme from 1 species
UGCCCGGCAACAUCUACUCCUACCUCCUCGUGGUGCUGACCGGGGUACGAGUAACCUUAGGGAAGAUCGGGUAAGCAACUCCGAAGGGAAAUUUGGUCGUAUGCUAACAUGGAAGG